GGGAGAAAUGGGCAUGGCCAACAUGAGGACUCAGCUGCAAGGAGAAGCAGCUGCAGAAGAGGACUUAAUCAAGGCAGUAAAGCAUGCCUGGGUGCUGUUAGCAUUGUGUUUUCCUGGGGAGAAGAUGGAGAUUCUGCUCUGAUUUCAUGUGCUAAAGAAGAAAAAGAGAGAGCUGGUGGUGGAGAUGACUGCAGAGUGGGCUUGUCCUCAGCACUUUCCUACAGAAUCCUUGUUCAUGGAGCUACUGAAGGUGGGCCAUGUUUCCUGUCCGAUCCCGCGGAAUGUCAUGUGAUCGUCAGUCAUCAGCAUGAAGAAUGUGAAUCACAGUCAACUGGGGGCUGCCCAGAAGACAGAGAACGAGAUGUUCUUUUCUUUCUGUUGACUGGCGAAGAUAUAUGCAGCUGUGUGUGAAUUAAGAUGAAAGAAGUAAAAUAAUGAACUGUGGAGAAAUAGAAAAUCCUGUAUUAUUGGAGAAAUAGAGGGGUCUUACUGUGAAUCACAGCUUAUAUGUGGUAAUAAUAGCUAUGGUAUGCUUAAAA